CGGUAAUACAGAGGGUGCAAGCGUUAAUCGGAAUUACUGGCGUAAGCGAGCGUAGUGCUGAUAAGUCAGAUGUGAAUCCCGGGCUUAACCUGGGAACUGCAUCUGAAACUGUUAGCUAGAGUAGGUGAGAGGGAAGUAGAAUUUCAGGUGUAGCGGUGAAAUGCGUAGAGAUCUGAAGGAAUACCGAUGGCGAAGGCAGCUUCCUGGCAUCAUACUGACACUGAGGCUCGAAAGCGUGGGUAGCAAACAGGAUUAGAUACCUGGUAGUCCACGCCGUAAACGAUGUCUACUAGUCGUUGGGUCCCUUGAGGACUUAGUGACGCAGCUAACGCAAUAAGUAGACCGCCUGGGGAGUACGGCCGCAAGGUUAAAACUCAAAUGAAUUGACGGGGGCCCGCACAAGCGGUGGAGCAUGUGGUUUAAUUCGAUGCAACGCGAAGAACCUUACCUGGUCUUGACAUAUCUAGAAUCCUGCAGAGAUGCGGGAGUGCCUUCGGGAAUUAGAAUACAGGUGCUGCAUGGCUGUCGUCAGCUCGUGUCGUGAGAUGUUGGGUUAAGUCCCGCAACGAGCGCAACCCUUGUCCUUAGUUACCAGCGGGUUAAGCCGGGAACUCUAAGGAUACUGCCAGUGACAAACUGGAGGAAGGCGGGGACGACGUCAAGUCAUCAUGGCCCUUACGACCAGGGCUACACACGUGCUACAAUGGUAGGUACAGAGGGCAGCUACACAGCGAUGUGAUGCGAAUCUCAAAAAGCCUAUCGUAGUCCAGAUUGGAGUCUGCAACUCGACUCCAUGAAGUAGGAAUCGCUAGUAAUCGCGGAUCAGAAUGCCGCGGUGAAUACGUUCCCGGGCCUUGUACACACCGCCCGUCACACCAUGGGAGUUGAUUGCACCAGAAGUGGAUAGCUUAACCUUCGUGGAGGCGUACACCAUAGAGUGAUGAGU
rnacentral:rRNA from 1 species